rnacentral:lncRNA from 1 species
GAGAAGCUGAGAAACCAAACGAUGAAUCCCUUCGCUUCCAUGUUGUUCUUUGUCUCUAUUUCUAUAGACGACAGCUGAAACCGAUCUCCGCCAAAGUAAAAUCAGUGUCUCUCUUAAGCUAUGAAGAUUUUGGGUUGUGGUUUGCCCAUCUUGAAGGAAUCAAACAAACAGUUAAGAUUUUUAUUUUUAACUUUCGAUUCCUUAUUCUGUCAUCAUGAUCUAAGAAUUGAUCCGUAUUUCCUACAAUGUUACCGUAGGCUGCCACGACGAUGCUUGACAACUCAUCCUCCUAAUGUCGUCUCCGCUUGCUUUCUCCGGCAACUACUACUCACUGAUUCAACAGCCGGUGUAUCAGCGAGUUCGCCAAUCUUUGUCUCAUUGAUCUUGGAUGUGGUCCUCUCAGAGAUUUUUAACCCCAAAUCGACCUCAAACGUUGACAGACAUCCAUGGCGAGCACCAAAUUCCAGCC